rnacentral:rRNA from 1 species
UGGGGAAUUUUGGACAAUGGGCGAAAGCCUGAUCCAGCCAUGCCGCGUGAGUGAAGAAGGCCUUCGGGUUGUAAAGCUCUUUUAGUCGGAAAGAAAGAGUCGCAAUGAAUAAUUGUGAUUUAUGACGGUACCGACAGAAAAAGCACCGGCUAACUACGUGCCAGCAGCCGCGGUAAUACGUAGGGUGCGAGCGUUAAUCGGAAUUACUGGGCGUAAAGGGUGCGCAGGCGGUUUUGCAAGUCAGAUGUGAAAGCCCCGGGCGUUAACCUGGGAAUUGCGUUUGAAACUACAAGGCUAGAGUGCAGCAGAGGGGAGUGGAAUUCCAUGUGUAGCAGUGAAAUGCGUAGAGAUGUGGAAGAACACCGAUGGCGAAGGCAGCUCCCUGGGUUGACACUGACGCUC